AAGUGGAAGACUGAGUCGGAGAGAUACUGCCAGCUGCCACGAUGACAAACAGCAUGUGAAGAUGCCGAACUGGCAUGAAGUUUCCUCAAAACACUGGAAUUAAAACUAUCAUGUGUUGGUUACACCCCUUCUGGGUAUAAGCCCAAAGAAUGCUAAGUCAGUACACCACAGAGACCCUCACGUAGCCAUGUUUACUGAGCACAGUAGCCAAGUUAUGCAAUCAGUUGAGGUGUCCAGAAGGCAAUGGGAUAAAGCAAAUUGGAUCAACAGUGGAAUUUCAUUCAGCUGUGAAAAAGACUGAAAUUAUGCCAUUUCCUGAAAAAUGGAUGUAACUGAAUAUCAACAUAUUAAAUGAAGAAGGAGAAUGAAAGAAUUGAGAAGACUAGCAGAUGGAGAAGGAGAGGAGACACUAAAGACUGAACGCAAGAGGUCAGGAAGGGGGUAAAUACGGUCAAAGCACAUGCUAUAAUUUGAAAGAAAUGAUCUUUAUGAAACUUGACAUUUUGUUUCUGAAUAUAUGCCACAAAAAUAAACUUCUUCCAGGAGUCAGUUUGUAUCAGAAAACCCUAUUAUGAUAUAGAGAGUAAUCAAUAACAGUUGAUUGAGUGGUAGAGCUUCUGAAACUACUAAAGUAACUAUUGUAUCACAACAGACCACUAAGGACAUUCUUAGAUGCAAAGGUUUGAUUAUCAAGAGUUGAUGGAUUUGGGUUUAAGUUCUUUUAAUGUAAACAUGAGCAACUGUAUUUGUAAUGUCCACAAUUUAUGUAAUAAAUAGUGUAAUGUGUGAUAAAUGACCUUAUUUAAGGCAGCAUACCUCAUCCUCACAUUGAGGCAAAGGAUCACAUUGUCCUGUGUCUCUGGAUGUUUCAUUACCAUUUUAAUGGUCUUUGCAAUGGGCUUUGAGUUUCAUCUUUGGUUUGAGCCUGGCAUGCCAACUGGAGUGACAAAUAUGUGCACAAAGCCUUCUGCUUCAAACUGAGUAAACACCAGUGGUUCAAAUGUCAAGUGCCGAGAAGAAAGUUGAAGAGAACAAGGAUCUGUGAAAAGACCCAUGAGCAGGAAAUAAUAAACACAGUUUGUAUUAACUCAGUGCUUCAUUCAGAACUGCAAAAUUCACCAGUGUUCAGUUCUCAUCUCAUCAUCACAGGUCUUUGAACAGAGAAGAUGGUCGUUGCCAUUCUGUAGAUAGAUAAAGCUAAUGUAGCGUACAUGUACAAUGAGGUUGUGCACACGUAACUGAAGCUUCCAGAUGGGAGGGCUUUUGAUCUUUUUUGCAAAGAUCAAAGAUAGAGCCUGGGUUCAUCCUGAAGAUUCUGUUAUCAGUCUGAGCUUUGGUUCCAUCCUUGCACCAACAAGCCCCAAACCUCCAAGCAACAUGGAUCAUCUUACAGUAAUAGCUGUACAGCUGUACUGGUUAGGGUUGUUGUCAACCUGACCAAACCCAGAGCCACCUGAGCAGAGGUAACCUCAAUUGGGAAAUUGCUAGGGUCACAUUGGCCUGUAGCUAUGUCUGUGACAGAGUGUGUUGACUGAUGUUUGAAAUGUGAGGAACCAGCCUACUGUGUGUGACACCAUCCCCACACAAGUAAGCCUUGACUGUAUAAGAAUGCUAGUUAAGCAAGAGCUAGUGAGUGAGCCAAUAAGUAGCUUUCCACCACGGCUCCUAUCUUCAGGCUUCUGCCUUAACUUCCUGCCCUGACGUCCAUUAGUGAUGGACCUGGAAGUGUAAGCCAAAUAAACCUUUUCCUUCUCAAGUUGCUUUUGAUGAUGGUGUUUAUCACAGCAACAAAAACCAAACCAGAAUAGCCACUGAAAGCCCACCCAAUUUCAUAGUAGGUUUUCACUAACUCUUUUGUUUUAGGCACUUGUGAGUAUAGUUGGAGGAAGAAGAUGCAAUGAAAAAAAAAUUCCAUGAUUUCACCUUGCAAACUAACUUCAUGGUCACUCUCAAAAGCGUCUACAGCUUCUGGGACCACCUCAUUUUCAUCUUAUUUGUUCUUCUUUCCAAAUAAGGCAGCUUUCCCCAUUCUUCUUCCUCAUUGCUCACUGCCUUCCUCCAGAAGCAUCCAGGAGUUAGUUGUGGUGCUCAUAGGCUUGCCUGGCUCUCACCUCUAGUUCUCAUGUUAGAAGGACAUGGUGAUUCUUCACAAUGGGUGGUUGCAUGGCUUUCAUUUAUGUGCUUGGAGGAGGUUAGUCAUUUCCUGGUUGCUACUAAAUUAGAAACAGGAAUGGCUGGCUGAGAGGCAUAUUGAGUUUUCAUCUCUUGCUGCCCAAUAAAACACCAACUGAGUAAUGAUGCCACAAACGGGAGUAGUUUCUCAAGUUUUGGACUGUCAAUGUUUGCUUUUCUUUUCAAUUACUUUUUUUUUCAUAGUGAUCUUUCAGUCCACUGACUACAGUACCUGUAAUUGCAAUCUCACUUCUCAGAGACUAGGGGCAUUUGUUUGCACAGUAACAUCUGCAGCACCACAUAGAACUGGUCAUUGCAUUAGUAGCCCAAAUUUUUAGACUUGUCUCAGGGCACAGACAUCAUGCCUUGGAAAAAUUACUUACAUAAUUUGCUUCUGAUGCUAACCCAUGCUGCUUUGCUUGUUUUUCUCACGUCUUAACUGGGAAUUUGAGAAUAUCUUUCAUAAUAGCAUUUUAAACGGUUUUACUCACAUUUCAUAUUUUGUAAGUCCAGAGAUUUCAUUUUGUGAAUAGUGACAAAAAUUCACGAAAUGAAUUCACUUCAGAGCCUUCCUUGGUGGUA